AUGGACGUGGCUGUGUGUGCGGAGAGCUGGCUGAUUCAGGCCAGUGUUCUGGGACGAAGAGAAGCCCACACCCCAGGCCAUGGCCCCUCUUGACUCCACCUCCUGGGGGCCCAGGGUUGGAUGGGAAGCUGAAUCUGGCCACACUCGUUCUGGAACUCCCUUACCUCUGUAUCUUUGCCCCUGCUAGGCGUUGCCCACCCGUCUCUCCCCACCUGCAGCACAGCCAGGCAGCGGCUGGCAGUGGUGAUGGUCUUUGCGUGGGGUCAGGCAGGUAUGAUGCCCCACUCUGCUGCUUGGCGGCUGGUAGGCCUUGGGAGUUCUGCCUUAUCUCUGCAGCUCAGCUUUCUUUCCUAUCAAUAGUAACACCCACUUCACUGGAUUAUUG
rnacentral:lncRNA from 1 species